rnacentral:rRNA from 1 species
ACGGGAGGCAGCAGUGAGGAAUAUUGGUCAAUGGACGAGAGUCUGAACCAGCCAAGUAGCGUGCAGGAUGACGGCCCUAUGGGUUGUAAACUGCUUUUGUACGGGAAUAAAGUGACCUACGUGUAGGUUUUUGCAUGUACCGUAAGAAUAAGGACCGGCUAAUUCCGUGCCAGCAGCCGCGGUAAUACGGAAGGUCCGGGCGUUAUCCGGAUUUAUUGGGUUUAAAGGGAGCGCAGGCGGCGAUUUAAGCGUGUUGUGAAAUGUAGGAGCUCAACUUCUGCACUGCAGCGCGAACUGGAUUGCUUGAGUACGCGGGAAGUAGGCGGAAUUCGUCGUGUAGCGGUGAAAUGCUUAGAUAUGACGAAGAACUCCGAUUGCGAAGGCAGCCUACUGUAGCGUUACUGACGCUAAAGCUCGAAAGUGUGGGUAUCGAACAGGAUUAGAUACCCUGGUA